rnacentral:rRNA from 1 species
UCUUUUAAUUGAAGGCUUGUAUGAAUGGUUGGACAAAAAGCAAGCUGUCUUCAAUUGUAAAAAUUGAAUUUGACUUUUAAGUGAAAAGGCUUAAAUAAUAUAAAGUGACGAUAAGACCCUAUAAAGCUUUAUAGUGUAACUUUUUAUUAUAAAUUAUUAAAUUGUAUAACUUAAUUUAAAGUAAAACUCUUUCGUUGGGGCGAUGAAAAUAUAAUAAAAUAACUGUUUUUGUUUUAAAUAAUACAGGUAUGUUUGGUUUUAAUGAAUGAUCCUUUAUUAAAGAUUAAAAGAUUAAGUUACUUUAGGGAUAACAGCGUAAUCUUCUUUGAGAGUUCAUAUCGACAAGAAGGGUUGCGACCUCGAUGUUGAAUUAAGGUUCCUGUGUGGUGUAGCAGCUACAGUUGGAGGUCUGUUCGACCUUUAAAUCCUUACAUGAUUU